AGCGAACGCUGGCGGCAGGCCUAACACAUGCAAGUCGAACGGACCCUUCGGGGUUAGUGGCGGACGGGUGAGUAACACGUGGGAACGUGCCCUUUGGUUCGGAACAACUCAGGGAAACUUGAGCUAAUACCGAAUGGGCCCUUCGGGGGAAAGAUUUAUCGCCAUUGGAGCGGCCCGCGUCUGAUUAGCUAGUUGGUGGGGUAAUGGCCUACCAAGGCGACGAUCAGUAGCUGGUCUGAGAGGAUGAUCAGCCACAUUGGGACUGAGACACGGCCCAAACUCCUACGGGAGGCAGCAGUGGGGAAUCUUGCGCAAUGGGCGAAAGCCUGACGCAGCCAUGCCGCGUGAAUGAUGAAGGUCUUAGGAUUGUAAAAUUCUUUCACCGGGGACGAUAAUGACGGUACCCGGAGAAGAAGCCCCGGCUAACUUCGUGCCAGCCGCCGCUGUAAAAC
rnacentral:rRNA from 1 species